rnacentral:tRNA from 1 species
GAAGGGGUAGCUCAGUGGUAGAGUGCAUUAUUAGCAUGCAUGAGGUCCUGGAUUCAAUCCCCAGUACCUCCA